AGGCAGGAUUACCGGAGGCGACAGUGGGGAAUUUUGAACAAUGGGGGCAACCCUGUAUCCAGCCAUGCCGCGUGAGUGAAGAAGGCCUUCGGGUUGUAAAGCUCUUUCGGACGGAACGAAACGGUUGGCGUGAAUAACGCCGACUAAUGAUGGUACCGUAAGAAGAAGCACCGGCUAACUACGUGCCAGCAGCCGCGGUA
rnacentral:rRNA from 1 species